rnacentral:lncRNA from 1 species
GGACUUCACUAGGGUGUGACUUCUUUUCUCAGUCAAUGCUUGUAACCAUCUUCUAGGGUUACUGGGAGGAUUCGUUGAGCUCACACACAUCAGAGUUACAAGAGUGCUGGGCUGGUAGAAAGCACACAUCCAGUGUUAUAUGCGCACGUUACUCUUUAUUAACAAACCAGAAUUUCAUCACAAGGCAGCGUUGUUGCAGCAGAACGGCCCACAGUCUGGCAUCAGAAAGACCUGGAAUCAGUUACCUGCUUUCCUCUUUAUUGGCCACAUGACCUUGGAGGAAUGCCUUCCCCAUGCUGCUCCUCAGUUUCCCCACUUAUAAGAUGGGCCCAGUCAUGGUACAGGACUGUGCUGCCUCCAGGCAAUAACAAAUAUCAAAC